GACGAACGCUGGCGGCGUGCCUAAUACAUGCAAGUCGAGCGAAGCGGGGACGGGUGAGUAACACGUAAGGAACCUCCGAUAAGCGGGGGACAACAUCCGGAAACGGGUGCUAAACCGCAUUCUUAUCGAAGGCCUUCGUGCAUUAGCUGGUUGGUGGGGUAACGGCCUACCAGGCAAUGAUGCAUAGCUGACCGGAGAGGGUAAGCGGCCACAUUGGGACUGAGACACGGCCCAAACUCCUACGGGAGGCAGCAGUAGGGAAUCUUCCGCAAUGGGCGCAAGCCUGACGGAGCAACGCCGCGUGAGGGAAGAAGGUUUUCGGGUCGUAAAGCUCUGUUGUAAGAGAAGCGGUAUCUAACGAGAAAGCCACGGCUAACUACGUGCCAGCAGCCGCGGUAAUUC
rnacentral:rRNA from 1 species